rnacentral:RNase_P_RNA from 1 species
AAAGUUCGCCGGACAGUCGUGGGCAGCCUGGUUCUGCACGAGGAAAGUCCGGACUCCGAAGAGCGCCGUAGCAGGUAACGCCUGUCCGCCGUGAGGCGAGGAUUAGAGCAACAGAGACGAGCCGGUUAAGUCCGGGUGAAACGGGCAAUCUCUACGGGGAGCAACACCAAAUAAGCAAUCGUUUGAUCUCGGCUCGGGAGAGAUUGUGGGUAGGUGGCUCGAGCCGUUAUGCGAAUAACGGUCUAGAUGAAUGACUGUCAUCGGCACGGCAUGCCGCGCCGACACUGAAUCCGGCUUACAAGCGGACUUUGCGU